UCUAAAUCCACUUGUCCUGCCUUGUCGCCAUCUCCCGGUUUCACGCUGAUUCGUUACACCACAACUUAUGACGGAGUUCCCCAUCUCCACGUCUUUGCUGCGAAGCUCAUGUCGGGACAAGAACUCGACGAUGCCGGCACCGAUGGAGUCCCCCAGGACGUUAGUGGUGGUUCGCAAGCGGUCCCUGUAUAUCCCGAAGAGGAAAAAGAGAGGAUAAAAAAAGUGCGGGAGAAACCUGUGAAGCCAAGGAUGAGGAAGCUACUCACAGAAACCAAUCGACUGCAAUGAUGAGAGUGAUGUCGUCAGUCGGAAGUCCAACAGAGGUCAGCACAAUCACCAUGGUGACCAGGCCUGCCUGAGGGAUGCCAGCAGCUCCGAUGCUAGCUGCUGUUGCUGUGAUACUUGUUUGAAGAUAAACAAAGAAGAAGUUCUGUUAGACACCAAGCAAAUCUUUUAAAUUUUUAUGCCUAAUACAACCCUUGAGUGACAUGAUA